GAUGAACGCUGGCGGCGUGCCUAAUACAUGCAAGUCGAGCGAACAGAUGAGGAGCUUGCUCCUCUGACGUUAGCGGCGGACGGGUGAGUAACACGUGGAUAACCUACCUAUAAGACUGGGAUAACUUCGGGAAACCGGAGCUAAUACCGGAUAAUAUAUUGAACCGCAUGGUUCAAUAGUGAAAGACGGUUUUGCUGUCACUUAUAGAUGGAUCCGCGCCGCAUUAGCUAGUUGGUAAGGUAACGGCUUACCAAGGCAACGAUGCGUAGCCGACCUGAGAGGGUGAUAGGCCACACUGGAACUGAGACACGGUCCAGACUCCUACGGGAGGCAGCAGUAGGGAAUCGUCCGCAAUGGGCGAAAGCUUGACGGAGCAACGCCGCGUGAGUGAUGAAGGUCUUCGGAUCGUAAAACUCUGUUAUUAGGGAAGAACAAAUGUGUAAGUAACUAUGCACGUCUUGACGGUACCUAAUCAGAAAGCCACGGCUAACUACGUG
rnacentral:rRNA from 1 species